AACCUGGUGGUGUAAUUGGUAACACAUCUGGUUUUGGUCCAGACAUUUCAGGUUCAAGUCCUGGCCGGGUUGCCA
rnacentral:tRNA from 1 species